UACGGAGAGUGCAAACGUUGUUCGGAUUCACUGGGCGUAAAGGGCACGUAGGCGGCUCGGCAAAUCGGUCGUGGAAUCUCGACGCUUACCGUCGAAACGGCGGCCGAAAAUACCGGGCUCGAGGGCGUGAGGGGUCACUGGAACUCCUGGUGAAGCGGUGAAAUGCGUAGAUAUCAGGAGGAACGCCGGAGGCGAAAGCGAGUGACUGGCGCGUUCCUGACGCUGGAGGUGCGAAAGCUAGGGGAGCAAACAGG
rnacentral:rRNA from 1 species